GAUGAAGAACGCAGCGAAAUGCGAUACUUGGUGUGAAUUGCAGAAUCCCGUGAACCAUCGAGUCUUUGAACGCAAGUUGCGCCCGAAGCCAUCAGGUUGAGGGCACGUCUGCCUGGGCGUCACACAUCGUUGCCCAAUGCCUAUUGCAGUGCAAUAGGAAUUUCUAGGGCGAAUGAUGGCUUCCCGUGAGCGUUGUUGCCUCGCGGUUGGUUGAAAAUCGAGUCCUUGGUAGGGUGUGCCAUGGUAGAUGGUGGUCGAGUUAGAACGAUACCGAUCAUGUGCAUGCUCCCCAAAAUAUGGCCUCUAUGACCCACACGCGUCUUUUGACGCUCAUGACGAGACCUCAGGUCAGGCGGGGCUACCCGCUGAAUUUAAGCAUAUCAAUAAGCGGAGGA
rnacentral:misc_RNA from 1 species